AUUGAACGCUGGCGGCAUGCCUUACACAUGCAAGUCGAACGGCAGCACGGGAGCAAUCCUGGUGGCGAGUGGCGAACGGGUGAGUAAAGUAUCGGAACGUGCCCAGUCGUGGGGGAUAACGUAGCGAAAGUUACGCUAAUACCGCAUACGAUCUAUGGAUGAAAGCGGGGGAUCGCAAGACCUCGCGCGAUUGGAGCGGCCGAUAUCAGAUUAGGUAGUUGGUGGGGUAAAGGCUCACCAAGCCGACGAUCUGUAGCUGGUCUGAGAGGACGGCCAGCCACACUGGGACUGAGACACGGCCCAGACUCCUACGGGAGGCGGCAGUGGGGAAUUUUGGACAAUGGGCGAAAGCCUGAUCCAGCCAUGCCGCGUGCAGGAUGAAGGCCUUCGGGUUGUAAACUGCUUUUGUACGGAACGAAAAGGUUUGGCCUAAUAAGCUGAGCUCAUGACGGUACCGUAAGAAUAAGCACCGGCUAACUACGUGCCAGCCGCCGCUGUAA
rnacentral:rRNA from 1 species